GCCCUGGUGGCGCAGCAGUUGAGCACUUGGCUGCUAACCAAAAGGUUGGUGGUUUGAACUCACCCAGUGGCU
rnacentral:tRNA from 1 species